AUGUUCCAUACUAAAGGAUUCGGGUCCAUAACCACGAGUUCCAGUGCACUAGAUCUUGUAGCACUUAGCAACGAAGCCCUAUCCAUUAGUAUUCCACAUAAGAAAUCCAUUCUAGAAAAAAAUACAAUUAGAUUAGAUCUUCAUAGACAAACUUGGGGUUUGCGAGCCAAGGUAAGAUUGGCUCGGGAUCAUGGGACCCUUUUCUAUCAGAUAGGAGGGGCUCUUGUACAAAAUAGACUUACUAAGUAA
rnacentral:rRNA from 1 species